AGACAAAUGGAUGAUGCCAAGUCUUAGAUGUAAAUAUGACAAAUCCAACUUCUUUGUUAGCUAGCAUAGAUUUGUGUAUGUACCAGAAGGCAAUAUAAUUGUUUAUGCCUUCUGGUGGGGUGAUAUCACUUAUGAUUGAUAUCACUAAUGGUUGUGUGUUGUAUCGAGGUUAGGCCUAGCCCCCCUCUGCCCCUUUUUGCUAAUACAACACAACUCAAAGCUCAUCUGGG
rnacentral:lncRNA from 1 species